GGGUGCCCCUCACACUCUUGUCUGAACUCAGAAUCUAAGCAAAGCUUGACCUGGUUAAUAUUUGGAUGGGAAACCCCCUUAGAAUACCAAGGUGUCUCACGCU
rnacentral:rRNA from 1 species